rnacentral:tRNA from 1 species
GGGGCUGUAGCUCAGUGGCAAAGUGCUUGCCUAGCAUGCAUGAGGCACUGAGUUCGAUCCUCAGCACCA